CCGUUUGGUGACGCGGAGGGACAUUACCGAGUUUACAACUCCCAAACCCAAUGUGAACGUUACCAAACUGUUGCCUCGGCGGGAUCUCUGCCCCGGGUGCGUCGCAGCCCCGGACCAAGGCGCCCGCCGGAGGACCAACCAAAACUCUUUUUGUAUACCCCCUCGCGGGUUUUUUUAUAAUCUGAGCCUUCUCGGCGCCUCUCGUAGGCGUUUCGAAAAUGAAUCAAAACUUUCAACAACGGAUCUCUUGGUUCUGGCAUCGAUGAAGAACGCAGCGAAAUGCGAUAAGUAAUGUGAAUUGCAGAAUUCAGUGAAUCAUCGAAUCUUUGAACGCACAUUGCGCCCGCCAGUAUUCUGGCGGGCAUGCCUGUCCGAGCGUCAUUUCAACCCUCGAACCCCUCCGGGGGGUCGGCGUUGGGGAUCGGCCCUGCCUCUUGGCGGUGGCCGUCUCCGAAAUACAGUGGCGGUCUCGCCGCAGCCUCUCCUGCGCAGUAGUUUGCACACUCGCAUCGGGAGCGCGGCGCGUCCACAGCCGUUAAACACCCAACUUCUGAAAUGUUGACCUCGGAUCAGGUAGGAAUACCCGCUGAACUUAAGCAUUC
rnacentral:rRNA from 1 species